UUGGAGGGCAAGUCUGGUGCCAGCAGCCGCGGUAAUUCCAGCUCCAAUAGCGUAUAUUAAAGUUGUUGCAGUUAAAAAGCUCGUAGUUGAAUUUCGGGGUUAGUAGGUUGGUCAUGCCUCUGGUAUGUACUGGUCUCACCGAUUCCUCCUUCCUGAUGAACCGUAAUGCCAUUAAUUUGGUGUUGCGGGGAAUUUGGACUGUUACUUUGAAAAAAUUAGAGUGUUUAAAGCAAGCUAACGCUUGAAUACAUUAGCAUGGAAUAAUGAAAUAGGACGUUCGAUCCUAUUUUGUUGGUUUCUAGGAUUGACGUAAUGAUUAAUAGGGAUAGUUGGGGGCAUUAGUAUUCAAUUGUCAGAGGUGAAAUUCUUGGAUUUAUUGAAGACUAACUACUGCGAAAGCAUUUGCAAGGAUGUUUUCAUUAAUCAAGAACGAAAGUUAGGGGAUCGAAGACGAUCAGAUACCGUCGUAGUCUUAACCAUAAACUAUGCCGACUAGGGAUCGGAUGAUGUUAAUUUUUUAAUGACUCAUUCGGCGCCUUACGGGAAAC
rnacentral:rRNA from 1 species